rnacentral:sRNA from 1 species
CUUUAGUCCCGAUUGAGCCGGUAUCCUCGAAGUGAAACGGAGAGAUAUAGGCGAAAGCGGGAACCCAU